UAAGGAAUAUUGGUCAAUGGACGCAAGUCUGAACCAGCCAUGCCGCGUGAAGGAUGAAGGUCCUCUGGAUUGUAAACUUCUUUUAUCUGGGACGAAAACGGGAUUUUUAUCUCAAUUGACGGUACCAGGGGAAUAAGCACCGGCUAACUCCGUGCCAGCAGCCGCGGUAAUACGGAGGGUGCGAGCGUUAUCCGGAUUUACUGGGUUAAAAGGGUGCGUAGGUGGGCUUAUAAGUCAGUGGUGAAAUCUCCGAGCUUAACUUGGAAACUGCCGUUGAUACUAUAGGUCUUGAAUUAUCUGGAGGUAAGCGGAAUAUGUCAUGUAGCGGUGAAAUGCUUAGAUAUGACAUAGAACACCAAUUGCGAAGGCAGCUUACUACAUAUAAAUUGACGCUGAGGCACGAAAGCGUGGGGAUCAAACA
rnacentral:rRNA from 1 species